GACGUAGGAUGCAAGCGUUGUCCGGAUUUAUUGGGCGUAAAGAGUUCGUAGGUGGUUUGUUAAGUCUGAUGUUAAAGACUGGGGCUCAACCUCGGGACUGCAUUGGAUACUGGCAGACUUGAGUGCGGUAGAGGCAAGUGGAAUUCCAGGUGUAGCGGUGAAAUGCGUAGAUAUCUGGAAGAACACCGGUGGCGCAAGCGACUUGCUGGGCCGUAACUGACACUGAGGAACGAAAGCUAGGG
rnacentral:rRNA from 1 species